GUCAAUUAUAAUAAUAAUUGUCUUCAAAACUUAUCACUUCUUUUUCCUAUCUAAUUUCAAUAUUUUCGAACUGUAUUAUCAUUUUACAGCAAAAGCUUUAAAUAAAAGGAUAUAUGGAGUCACAGUGAAUGUCAAAGGUUGACCAUUCGAACAUUUACGAUCAACUAUGAUUAAGUUCCUUGGGGUUUUUAUGUACAUGUUGUUGAUUGUUUCAACUUUGGCGUCAAAUGCCUGUUACAAAGACGGUAAUUGGUAUGACGAUGGUGAAGACAUAGGUUUCCAUGACGACUGUUAUGGAUGUAAAUGCAGUGAUGGACUUAUUUUAUGCAUCGACCAAAAGUUGACGUGUGAAAGACCUGUAUGUGGUGAGCGAGCUGUGUCUAUACCAGGUCAAUGUUGCCCAGUCUGCGUGUAGGAUAUUCGUAUCAGUAUCUGGUUUCACCACCGUGGUGAUGCAUAUACUCACUAUGAUGAAUAAAAUUGUAUUUUAA